CCUACGGGAGGCUGCAGUGGGGAAUAUUGCACAAUGGGGGAAACCCUGAUGCAGCGACGCCGCGUGAGUGAAGAAGUAAUUCGUUAUGUAAAGCUCUAUCAGCAGGGAAGAAAAUGACGGUACCUGAGUAAGAAGCCCCGGCUAACUACGUGCCAGCAGCCGCGGUAAUACGUAGGGGGCAAGCGUUAUCCGGAUUUACUGGGUGUAAAGGGAGCGUAGACGGGAGUGCAAGUCUGGAGUGAAAGGCGGGGGUUCAACCCCCGGACUGCUCUGGAAACUGUACGGCUGGAGUACAGGAGAGGUAAGUGGAAUUCCUAGUGUAGCGGUGAAAUGCGUAGAUAUUAGGAGGAACACCAGUGGCGAAGGCGGCUUACUGGACUGUAACUGACGGUGAGGCGCGAAAGCGUGGGGAGCAAACAGGAUUAGAUACCCCUGUAGUC
rnacentral:rRNA from 1 species